CACACCGCCCGUCACGCCAUGAAAGCUGUUUGCACCCAAAGACUUCUUAGCUAACUCGUAAGAGAGGCGGAGGUUUAAGGUGUGGGCAGUGAUUGGGGCG
rnacentral:rRNA from 1 species